GCUCUGAGUAGGGGGGCAGAGCAGGACAUAGGAAAGGGUACUGAUGAGAGGAAAUAGCCAGCAGGCAGGGGAAGCUGGGCCACACAGUGCGAUGGCAGGUUGCUGAUUUACCACAGCAGGCUUCAUCUUUGAAACCUCCUACUAGAGAUGCGCUAUGCUAUACGUUAUGACGACAAUCAGUUUUUCGACUGACGACAAUCAUUGCGUGGGUCAGACAAAAAAGCUAAACAGCCCUUUCUUCUUGUUAUGUAAUAGCAUAAAACACAGCAAGCUGAGGAGACUUUGACUUUGUGCAUUGCAAAUAUGAUGACGACCAGCUAGCACAUUGUAAAUUACGAGGAAGAACAGCUAUGUCUAAAUGAAUGUAUACCUAUUUUAAUCUUAGAAAUAGCAUGUAAAGGGUGCAUUGUGUGCAUUUGCACGAAACUCGGAUGCGCGCCGAGGAUUAAUUUACCGGUGGCCAAUUUGCGUCGCCUUCUGAAGAGGUUUAUCGCUGCACUGGUGUGAUACCUUCAGAAUUUUGGCCGAAAGGAUAUGCCGGCACAGUGUCAUCAUCAAUAACCAAGGUGGGAUAGUCUACAGGGAAGAAUAAUUUUGGAACCACAUUUUGGCCUGUAUUGAAUAUAUUAAUUAUAAGAAGCAGACGAUAGGCAUAAACAAUGGCGGGCCCGGAGCAGUCCCAGGGGCAGUCCCAGCAGGUAGAGGAAAAAGCUGAGCAUAUAGACGACGCUGAGCUCGCUCUUCAAGGUAUCAACAUGCUUCUCAACAACGGAUUCAAGGAGAGCAACGAGCUUUUCAGAAAAUAUAGGACUCACAGUCCACUGAUGAGCUUUGGGGCCAGUUUUGUCAGCUUCCUGAAUGCCAUGAUGACCUUUGAGGAGGAGAAGAUGCAGACGGCGUGUGACGACCUGAGAACCACGGAGAAGCUGUGUGAGAGUGACAACGCUGGCGUCAUAGAGACAAUCAGGAACAAAAUCAAGAAGAGCUUGGAACCCCAGAGGUCAGCGGUCGUAGUUGUGGACCGCCUGCAGCGACAGAUCAUUGUGGCCGACUGCCAGGUCUACCUUGCUGUGCUUUCCUUCGUCAAGCAGGAGCUCUCAUCAUACAUCAAGGGAGGCUGGAUCCUCCGUAAGGCCUGGAAGAUGUACAAUAAGUGCCACAGUGACAUCAGUCAGCUGCAGGAGACCUGUGUGAGGCGCUCUCCCUCCCAUGAGGAGGAUCUGUCCUCAGACCAGGCCAAUCACAACUCCCCAGUGGAGGGCGCUGUGACUGAAGAGGCCCUGGACCGGCUCAAGGGCUCCGUCAGCUUCGGCUACGGCCUCUUUCACCUCUGCAUCUCCAUGGUACCRCCACACCUACUCAAGAUCAUCAACCUGCUGGGUUUCCCUGGUGACCGUCUCCAGGGUUUGUCCUCCCUCAUGUAUGCCAGUGAGAGUAAGGACAUGAAGGCCCCACUAGCUACGUUGGCCCUCCUGUGGUACCACACAGUAGUGCUGCCCUUUUUUGCACUGGAUGGUUCUGACACUCAGGCAGGCCUGGAGGAAGCAAAGGCCAUUCUGCAGAGGAAGGCUGUGGUCUACCCCAAUUCCUCCCUCUUCAUGUUCUUUAAAGGACGUGUUCAGAGGUUAGAGUGCCAAAUUAACAGUGCGCUGGUGUCCUUCCAUGAUGCACUAGAGCUGGCAUCAGACCAAAGAGAGAUCCAGCACGUGUGUCUCUAUGAAAUCGGCUGGUGCAGUAUGAUAGAGAUGAACUUUGAGGAUGCAUUCAGGUCAUUUGAGAGGCUGAAGAAUGAGUCCCGGUGGUCACAGUGUUACUAUGCCUACCUGACUGGAGUAUGUCAGGGAGCUGCAGGGGACUUGGAUGGUGCCAAGUGUGUCUUCAAAGAUGUCCAGAAACUGUUCAAGAGGAAGAACAACCAGAUUGAGCAGUUUGCCCUCAAGCGGGCGGAGAGACUGAGGAAGAUGUCUCCCACCAGAGAACUGUGCAUUCUGGGAGUCAUAGAGGUGCUGUACCUGUGGAAGGCUCUGCCCAACUGCUCCUCCUCCAAACUGCAGCUCAUGAAUCAGGUGUUACAGAGUGUGGAUGACGCAUCGUGCAGGGGUCUGAAAAACCUCCUUCUUGGUUCCAUUCACAAAUGCCAUGGAAAUAAUAAAGAUGCUAUCCAGUCGUUCCAGCUGGCAGCCAGAGAUGAGUUUGGUCGACAGACCAACUCUUAUGUGCAGCCAUACUCCUGCUAUGAGCUUGGAUGUGUCCUGCUUGCCAAGCCAGAGACGGUGGGAAAAGGGAGAGCUUUUCUGCUUCAGUCAAAGGAGGAUUAUGCAGGCUAUGACUUUGAGAACAGACUUCACGUGCGCAUACACUCAGCCAUGGCCUCGCUGAAGGAAGUGGUACCUCAAAGACCCGCCGACCACUGAUGUAAUGAUAACUCAGCCUCCAGCUGUGCAUUUGAUGAUACGGGAAGCAUGGCUUUUACUAUACAUUGAAAGCCAUUCAAAACCACAAGAAUUUGGCAGUACAUGCAACCGGCCUCACAACCGCAG